UAGGGUUUUGUAAUAAAAGAAUCGAGGACAUCGAUUCCACUGGGGAUGUUUUCGCUUGAGGGAUUGAUUUCGACGAUGAAUGUGGAAAAAGCCUCGCUCGAUCCAGAAAAAGCAAGAAACUUCCAUCAUAAACCGUAUACGGUGGAUUGCAUAAAGUGGCCGUCGUGGGAUUUACCUUCUCCAGUUAAGUAUAAUAAUAAAGAGGGGAUGAUGGUCUCACAUGGGAAAUUCCCGGAGAUUCGACGUGCGUGGGUAUUACUCGAUGAUCAUUCUUUCCUUCUGUGGCGUUUUGACAAAUGGGAUGCGCAAAUUUGGGUGCACAGAACCAGCGAGGAGCUGCCUAUUUCUGCGGCUUGUCUAGUGAAACCUCGGCCAGAUUUUGGUGCUCGCAACUCAAGAUGAGUUGCUGCUUUUUGGAGUAUGCUGCUCGUCUCAAGAAGGCGGCGAAGAUACUCUUUCUCACAUUUCAUUAGAGAAGCUGGUUGACUACACCACCUCAACUGAUGGAGUUACAAUGACUUGUAUUGCCUCUACUGAUAAAGGCCGCAUUUUCUUGGCUGGAUACAACGGUCUCAUAUUCGAGCUGCUCUAUACUAUUGGCUCACCUUGCCGUCUAGUUUGCUGCAUACUGCUUGGCCCUGACCCUAAUUACUAUGCUAUCCAUUGCUAUAAAUGCGGAUCUACUACUAUCAAGGAGUUGUAUACGGCGAUGUAUAACAC